rnacentral:rRNA from 1 species
AGUGAACGCUGGCGGUAGGCCUAACACAUGCAAGUCGAACGGCAGCACAGUAAGAGCUUGCUCUUACGGGUGGCGAGUGGCGGACGGGUGAGGAAUACAUCGGAAUCUACUUUUUUGUGGGGGAUAACGUAGGGAAACUUACGCUAAUACCGCAUACGACCUACGGGUGAAAGCAGGGGAUCUUCGGACCUUGCGCGAUUGAAUGAGCCGAUGUCGGAUUAGCUAGUUGGCGGGGUAAAGGCCCACCAAGGCGACGAUCCGUAGCUGGUCUGAGAGGAUGAUCAGCCACACUGGAACUGAGACACGGUCCAGACUCCUACGGGAGGCAGCAGUGGGGAAUAUUGGACAGUGGGCGCAAGCCUGAUCCAGCCAUACCGCGUGGGUGAAGAAGGCCUUCGGGUUGUAAAGCCCUUUUGUUGGGAAAGAAAAGCAGCAGGUUAAUACCCCGCUGUUCUGACGGUACCCAAAGAAUAAGCACCGGCUAACUUCGU